rnacentral:rRNA from 1 species
AUGCAGAUGUUGUAUGAGUUAGUAGAGCACUUGGGGUAUGAGACUGCUGGGAGAAUUGCUAUUUACUUGUUGUUGCCUGGCAUGCAAAUGAAUGAAGGUGGGCUAAAAUUGUUGUCAAGAAACAAUGAUACAAACAUUAUUAAGGAAGUGGUCAGAGAGGGGUACAAAUAUCUCAUGUUUUAUCUGGAUCAUGAGGAUAGCUAUGGUGGAGGAGGAUGGGAUGAUGUGGUUGCAAACCCUCGUACUCAUCUACCUCUUGUGAUCAAUCCAAAAAAGAGUAGCAGAGAGGGAAGUACUGUGAGAGGAGCAAGCAAGGCAACAAGCCUGGGAGGCGCAAGUUGA